AUCCCCCAAAUUUUCUUUCUUCUCUUUCCAUACCCAUGAUACCUUCUUCUUCUCUUUCCCCAAUUUUUUUCAAAUCAUCGUUCGACCGAGCUCUACGUCCUUUGUCGCGCACGACUCUCUAUCACGACAAUCGAAGCUCCACCACGCUUUCGAGUGAACUUUAGACCAUCUCCUCGUUCCAAUCUCUUCAAUUAACUCCUCAUUCAAGCUCGUUGUUGUUCACACCAAACCUUUCUUUUCCUCCGUCGUCAGUCUCGCCAGACCUGGAGCGGCUGGGGUUUUACCCCAUGUGGAUUCAAAUUUGAAGAAGAUUGUUCUGCAAGUUGAACUCCAAAAUUUAAACCAAAUUUUGUGAAUAAACUCGCUUCAUCGGUGAUGAUAUAUGAUAUGUUCCAAGCACUGGAUGCAAUGUGGAUUAAGCAAAGUGUUUAACGCUCUGUGUGGUUCGAUCUCUAGAAUUUGAUCCUCUGAUUCUCUCUCGAUUAGAUGCUUACGUUUCAUUUGAGGAAACAAAACACGUGAUGUUCUUGAAGUUGGAGUUUUGGAAAAAAGUUUGUAUCUCAAAGAAGCUUUAAUAUUCGAGGAAAGCUAGAGUCUUAGAAAGCUUGUAGAAGCUGGAGUCUUAAAAGAAAACUUGUAUUUUGAAAGGAGCUUCAAUCUUCAAGGAUGAUCGACUUUAGAAAUUAGGGAAUCUUCUAGCUCUUGGGAGAAUUCUCUCUAAACCUUCUGAAGUCAAAAAUUUCCAACCCCUUACAAAUGAGAAGAACUCCUCUGUUUAUAGAGUUCUCUUAUGGGCUUUACGAGAUUGAGUCUGGUUGGUUCAUGAACCAGACCCAUGGGUUCAACCACAUGAGUUUGAGUUAUAUUUAGCAUUUGGGAUCAAUUAAGCUUAUUUUUGGGCUUAUAAGCUUAAUUGAACUUAGUCAAAGUAAAUAAUAUUUAAUUGAACCAAAAUAAUUAACUUGAUCCAACGGUUAGAAUGAAAACAUGUGGCA